rnacentral:rRNA from 1 species
ACUCCUACGGGAGGCAGCAGUAGGGAAUCUUCCACAGUGGGCGGCAAGCCUGAUGGAGCAACACCGCGUGAGUGAAGAAGGGUUCGGCUCGUAAAGCUCUGUUGUUAAAGAAGAACACGUAUGAGAGUAACUGUUCAUACGUUGACGGUAUUAACCAGAAAGUCACGGCUAACUACGUGCCAGCAGCCGCGGUAAUACGUAGGUGGCAAGCGUUAUCCGGAUUUAUUGGGCGUAAAGAGAGUGCAGGCGGUUUUCUAAGUCUGAUGUGAAAGCCUUCGGCUUAACCGGAGAAGUGCAUCGGAAACUGGAUAACUUGAGUGCAGAAGAGGUAGUGGAACUCCAUGUGUAGCGGUGGAAUGCGUAGAUAUAUGGAAGAACACCAGUGGCGAAGGCGGCUACCUGGUCUGCAACUGACGCUGAGACUCGAAAGCAUGGGUAGCGAACAGGAUUAGAUACCCCGUGUAGGAUAGCG